CGGAGAAGGCCCAGCGUGCCAUGGGGCCGGCUGGCUGUUUUUGACAGCGUUAUGCUGCAACAUGGAUUCUGCCCUGCAGGAUGCAACCUGCAUACAGGAACUCCAAGCCAAGGAGCAUGCCUUGGAGGUGCGGGUGUGGCAGUUGGAACUGGAGCUGGAAAUGGUGCCUCGCAGUGAGACAGCAGAGGACACUGAGGUUGGGGACUGCCGAGGAUGGGGACGUGGAGGAAACAUGCCCUCUCCAUGCUUGGCCAGUAAUCCAGCAAAAGGUAAAGCAUGAGCAACCCUUGGGUCUAGGAGGUGUCGCCCAAGGAGCCUCGAUUGUGACAGAGUUCAUGGCAUAGUCCCCUUAUACGCCAAUGGAACUGUGGGACCUGUGUAAGCAGUGCAGGCAACAGCUGGGUGAGCCCAUACUGGCCUGGCUCCUGUGGCUAUGGGAUGAGGGGGCGGAUAGUAUAAUCUGUACUUCUGACGAGAUGGAGAAGCUGGCCUCCAUCACGUUGCCCCCCUCCAUCUGGCAGUGGUUCCAGAAUAGCUGCCAGCUAGGCCAAGGGCAGGGAAAUCACUCCAUGAUGGAGUGGGUGACAGCUGCCGCCCGGACUGUGUGGGAUAACGCCGGGGAGCUCCUGGAGACUGUGAGCCAAUGGCAGACCUAUGCGGAACUGGUGCAAGUUAUCCGUGAGUUGGAAAUGUGGCAAGCCAUUUUUAACCUUCAUACCCGGGGGCCCAAUGAUGAGUGCUUUAUGUCCAGGAUGAAGGACUUGGUCCUUAACUCAGCCCCAUCUAAUGCUUUUGGGUCCUUGGUGGCCAUGAGGUAACCACUGCAAUGGCCACUUUGGGGGAUGUAGAAGGCUGACAGAAGGAGAAAACCAAGCGUGUCACACGGUGAGUGGUGCCAAAGCUGAGAGCAGGCUUGGCAGAGAAAGGGCCUAAACAAGUUACCUGCAUGUAAAAGUGGGUAGACCUGCUAGCCUCAGGCAUUGAUCAGAUGAAAAUAACUGGCAGCCGAAUGCUGUCUUGGUGGCACUGUGGCAUCAGUUGAAGCCUGAGCAACAGUUCUAAAAGACUGUGGAAAGGCGAAAGAAUCCCAGCAAGAACAGGCAAGUAAGCCUCCAGGACUUUACACAGCCCUGAGGUGAGGAGCCCAUGUACCUCUUUGACUAGGGGAGAGGCCGGAGUGCCUGGCUUGGGGGACCCCUGGAGGACUGGAGGCCACAUGUGGAACUUGCGAUUUACCGGUCCCCCACAAAUGUGCAGCGUGCGCUGGCAUUGGUAGAUACUGGAGCUGAGUGUAGUCUGAUUUAUGGCAACCCGGAUAAAUUUCCAGGGAAGCUGGCAUAUGUUGAUGGCUUGGAGGCCAUACUGUGAAAUUGAAGCCAGUGUCUCUGUCCCUUGGCAUUGGCUGUUUGCUGCCCCAAGUGUACACAGUGUCUGUGUCUCCUAUCCCCGCGUAUGUUCUGGGGGUAGACGUCUUGCCAGGACUGCGCCUGCAGAUGACCAUGGGCGGGUUCUGCCUACGAGUGCAUGUGGUUAAGUCUGUUGUCCAGGGGCAUACACACCACCUGCUGCAAGUGUUGCCGGUGCCACGACAUGUAGUGACCACCCAACAGUAUUGCCUCACAGGUGGACAUGAGGAGAUCACACAGACCAUUGCAAAAGUAGAAGAGGCUAGGAUCUUGCAAUCCACCCAAAGCCCUUAUAAUUCCCUGGUUUGGCGAGUGAGGAAGGCUGACGGCACAUGGUGUAUGACUGUGGAUUACUGGGAAUUAAAUACAGUGACUCCUCCAUUGCAUGCUGCUGAGCCCUCAGUGCAUGACAUAAUGGAUCAACUGACAGUCCAAUUGGGACAGUACCACUAUGCUGUGGACCCUGCUUUUCCACCGAUAUUCCGGCUGAGAGUCAAGAUCAGCUUGCCUUCACCUGGGAUGGCAGACAGUGGACAUUUUAUCUACAGCAGACUCCUGAGUCCCUGUGGAAGCAUCUGGCAAUGUGGUUGGGCGGCCAAUGAUGCCAAAGUCCAGGGACCUGGCUUAUCUGUCAAAUUCUUGGGGGCUGUCUGGUCGGGUAAGAUGAGGGUGAUACCUGAAGCAGUCAUUGACAAAAUACAGGCGUACCCCCUGCCAACAACUGUAGCUCAAUUGCAAACAUUUCUGGGCCUGUUGGGGCACUGGUGAGUGUUUAUCCCUCGUUUAGCCCAGGUGGUGAGGCCCCUAUAUGCUGUGGUAAAGAAGGGAGCCCUGUGGGACUGGACAGAUGCUGCAGACCAAGCAUUUAAGGCUGCCAAGAGUGCUGUGCAGCAGGCACAAGCUUUACAGGUGGCUGACCCAGGACAGCCAUAUGAAUUGGACGUCCAUGUUACCCAGGAGGUUUCGGCUGGGGCCUGUGGCAGCUUCACCACUGGGUACGAGCCCCUGUCGGGUUCUGGUUCCAACUAUGGAAAGGAGCGGAAAUACAAUGUUCUCUAGUGGGGAAACAGUUGGCAGCCACCUAUGCCACCCUGAUAGUGUGUGAGGCUAUCACACGAAUGGCCCCUGUUCAGCUUAGAACCAUGUCCCCUAUUCAAGGAUGGCUCCGGUCAUGGGCUACCCGUCCACAGUCUGGCGUGGCCCAGACCCCUACCUUGUCACAGUGGGGGGCUUAUCUAGAACAAAGGAGCUCGGUGAGUUCCAGCCCCCUGAGUAUGGAGCUACAGAGGGUGUUAGGGUCGGUUGAGUUCCUUGCUGUGGGGGAACAGACUCCUAUGGCUCCUCUAGGCAUAGAGCCCAUGCCCUGUGCUGAGGGAAAGCUCCCGGUCCUGGAGGGUGCUUGGUACACUGAUGGUUCUAGUAGAGGGCCAGCUGCUAUGUGGACAGCCAUGGUUAUGCAGCCAAGCCCUGAUACCAUUUGGUUUGAUACUGGCACCAGCCACAGCAGCCAGUGGGCAGAAUUAUGGGCUGUCUGGAUGGUUAUCACCCAUGAACCAGGGCCCUUAGCUGUUUGUACAGAGAGCUGGGCAGUGUACCGGGGAUUGACCCUGUGGUUAUCUGUGUGGCAGGCUCAGCAGUGGUUGUCCAGAAACCACCCCAUGUCGGGGCAGGCCAUGUGGCAGGAACUAUGGGCCUUGGGCCAUGGAAAAGAGGUGACAGUGUAUCAUGUUCCCGGCCAUAUGCCUCUGACUGCUCCUGGGAACGAUGAGGCUGAUGCUCUGGCCCGUGUGAGGUGGCUGGAAAGAGCCCCGUCUGCAGAUGUGGCGCACUGGCUACAUUGAUGCCUAAAUCAUGCAGGGAGCAAGACCGUGGGAACAGUGAGUAACACUGGGGGGUACCCCUCACGUGGCAACAAAUAAUGACAGCAUGUCAAGAAUGUGCUGUAUGUGCCCAGGCCUUUCCUAAUAGAAGGAAACCAGUGUCCACACAGCAGCAAGUAGCUGGAGGGCGUGUGCCCUUGGUCUGACGGCAGGUGGACUACAUCGGACCAUUACCGAAGACCAAAGGCGCUGUGUACGCCUCUACGGCUGUCGAUAAGGCCACCGGUUCCCUCUUUGCACGGCCCUGUGCAGCCACAGAUCAGAGGCAGACACUUCAGGCCCUUGCAGGUACUCUGUGCCUUUUAUGGUUGACCCUUGGUCGAGGAGAGCGACAAGGGGACACAUUUUACAGGACAAGAAGUCCAAUGGUGGGCCAGCACCAUGGAUGUUCAAUGGCUUUUCCAUACUCCUUAUAACCCGGCUGCUGCCAGGAUGAUAGGAAGGUAUAAUGGGCUUUUAAAGCAGGGCUCACACACAGCCACACAGCCUUCCUCCCUGGGAGGCUGGGCAACUCGGUUGCGGCAGGUGCUGAUGGUGUUCAAUGAACAGCCUCAAAAGGGAGGGCCAGCUCCCACAGAGGCUGUGUCACAGCCCCCACACAGCUGCAAGCAGUGACCACUGAUGAGUUACUAAAGCCUGGCUACGGCCGAAAUUACGGCCGAAAUGGAAACAUUCUUUUGCCGGCCCCAACAUGUCUCAACAUGGGGGAAGUACGAGAAUGAGAAUGGCCUUGAAGAUAAAAGCCCGUCACGGCAAGCGGCUGGCGCCUUGAGCACCCUGGGGACUUGGGGAACAACAAGACAUGUCACCUUGUGGGUGACUAGGACUUGGACCCCUCAGGUAACUGUCAGGCUGCCACAGACCGAUGCCAGUUCUGUCCUGAAGGGAGCAUAUGUGAUUUCCAUGUGGCCAAUAAUGAGUUCCCCUGUCCUGCUGCAUGUGGAGCCAGCUCUUGCAGCGCCUCUGCAAGCAGGAAAGGUGUGGUAUCAUCAGCUGGGAUGGCCCCUGUUGGCAGCCACCCUCUUGUCUCAGGAUAAGUGGCUAGCCUGUGUUCUGCCUGAAGGACGUGAUUGGCUCCUCCUAGUUCCUAUCACUGCUUUGUCCUUUCGCCCAUAGACGGAGAGUGGUGAACAGUGUUGCAGAAUGGGCGCACACCUAGCUGAGGUGACCAACAUAGCUAACUGCUGGGUGUGCACAGAACUGCCCACCAGCACUGCAGAAGGCUCGCUGUGACACAUCCACCCUGCUUCAGAAGGGAACUGGACCUGGCUGUGUUCCUGAGGACCUGCUGAUGCUCAGUGGGACCAAAGAAGGCACCAAGUGGACCAGUAGCUGUGCUGACAACAUGGACGAAAACGGCCCUGGGUGACCCUGAGCCUCUGGGAUGACUAUGGGUGGUUAUGUGGGGAGGCUGUUGUGCUCUGCGUGUCUGUGCCCCCGUGCAUAGAGCAACAGAAGGGGGAUGUGAUAGCAGGAUAGGUACCCAAGGAGCUGUGUCAGAAGAUCCAGUGAGUGACCCAGCCCAAGUAUUGGUGGAAUGCCCAUCCCUAUGUCGGGACAGUCCCCAUGGACAGAGUGCCCACGGGCAGUCUCUGGGUCUGUGGUAGUUAUGAAUGGCCUUAUCUCCCUGGCCAACUGGACAGGGUGAUGCACUUGGGGGUGGCCCUACCUCCCAGCUGCUGUUCAGAGAACUUUGGAUGUGUGACCCAGCAAUUGGGAGAGGGUAAAAAGGCGCUGUCACUGGGAGAAAUGAAUGCCCUGGUGGGUUUACCUCCUGGCUGUUCUUAGUCCGUCCGCGGGGACUAUUGCUGUGAAGUGGCAGGUUACUGCCUUGACAGAGCAUAACGCCCGAGCCCUCAGUCAUACAGCCCGGGCCCUGUCUCUCUUAGCUGAUGAAGUAGACCAGACCCAGAAGGUCAUGCUGCAGAACCACAUGGCUCUAGACAUCCUUACUGCAGCACAAAGGGGGACCUGUGCAGUUACUGAGGUGCAAUGUUGCACGUUUAUACAAGAUAGUGCAAGGAACAUAUCGCAAGCCUUGCGACAGGCCAGGCACAAGAUCUCGUGGAUCCAGACAUUGACAGGAGACCCCCUGCAGGAACAGUGAUCUAAGUUGUCCUCCUCGUGGCAGUGGGCUCUGACCACAUUAGGAGGUAUAUCCUGUCUCCUGAUGGUCAUUUGCUGUUCUCUGUAUUGCUGUUGUGGAAUGUAGGUCCAAGGCAUUGGGCUGUGUGCCCAUGCCUCCCGCAAACUCCCCCCACUGCUGAGGUCUGAUGAGGGUGGAGGGAAGGGAAAUGGAGGUACUGUGGACAAUCAGACCGGAGCAGCUUCCGGGCUUCUGUGGCUCAGCAUGUCCCCUGCAGGCAGUGCAUGUGCCAUCCAUGUAUGUAAACACCUUAUGUAACCUGCAUAAUGGAAACAUUGUCUGCUGGCUGUAUGCCACUUUUGUCUAGUAGUCAUUUAAAAGUGGCCACAAGGGGAGCUGCUGUGCUCCCACCAUCUGUCUGCCAGAGCGCAUAGAGUAUGUCUGCCUUGCCACCGGCAGCUUGCACUUUUUUUCAAUUCCCCAAGCCCUGUGGUCCAGUCCUCAGCCGUUUCUCUCCUGCAUACAGUGGCUCAGACCUGGAGGGCCAUGCCUAUCUUUUCCCAGUUGAGCUGGAGCAUCUCGAGUCCAUUGAGGCAGAGUGGGUAGGUGGGGGGACUACAGACUGGGAAGACAGUCUGUGCAGGGGUUCAUGGGCUGGAGUUCUCUUAAAGGCAGUGGAGUCUUUCCUGUCUUUGGAAAGGCACAGGAAAUGUCAGGUAUGUGGGUGAAACUUUCUCUUUAUCCUGCUCCAGAGCCAGCUCCAGAGCUCCUGCCACUUCCAGAGCCAGAGCAAGGGCCAGCUCCUGGGCUAGAGACAGGUCCAGCUCAAGUCCCACCACCUGUGGGAGAGCUGGAGCCAGCAUCACCUGCAUCGGCCCUUCCAGGACUGGAGUUAGGGCCACCAUUGACUUCAGCCCCAGAGCCAGCUCCUUUGCUGGAGCCAACUGGACUCUGGGCUCUAGUGACAUUUCCAGUUCCAUCUGCACAAAUAACGAGCAUGCUGGAUCCAGCCCCAGAACCCUUCUGGCCCUGGGCUGUGACCACCAAGAACCAGCUGAGGGAGGAGAUGCCAAACCUCUUGGACUUCCCUCCCCAGCUGGUGGCAGAGCAGCAGACGAGGAUGGCUGCGACUCCAGGCCCCCAACAAAGAGCCCAGUGGCGGUGGCAGAUGACCCUCCUGAGAGCAGCUGAACUACAGCCUUUUCCUCAGCAGGGAACACAGCUGGGACACUCAGGGUGCACAGGGCCACCUCCUUCCAUUCUGAUGGGGAGAACUUUGUGAUCCUUUUCCCAGGGGUCCCCUGAAGGUGACAAGGGAGGCCAUGACCCCCCCAUCUCCCUCACACCUUUUCCCUAGUGCCUAUUUACCUCUUUGGAGGGGCCAUAUUUCUGUCGUCAGUGGUAAAUGCUGCUUUUGAAUGUUAUAUUAAACGCCUGUUUCCUUCUCAGCCUGGGAGUGCUGGU
ensembl:lncRNA